GACGAACGCUGGCGGCGUGCUUAACACAUGCAAGUCGAACGGAAAGGCCUGCUUUCCCUUGUGGAUUGCGGGUACUCGAGUGGCGAACGGGUGAGUAACACGUGAGUGAUCUGCCCCCAACUUGGGUAUAAGCCUGGGAAACUGGGUCUAAUUCCCGAUAGGACUGCAGGGUGGUGCCUGUGGUGGAAAACGAUUUUCUAGUGGUUGGGGAUGAGCUCGCGGCCUAUCAGCUUGUUGGUGGGGUAAUGGCCUACCAAGGCGGCGACGGGUAGCCGGCCUGGGAGGGUGGACGGCCACAGUGGGACUGGGAUACGGCCCAGACUCCUACGGGAGGCAGCAGUGGGGAAUAUUGCACAAUGGGCGGAAGCCUGAUGCAGCGACGCCGCGUGGGGGAUGACGGCCUUCGGGUUGUAAACUCCUUUCGACCGCGAGGAAGCCACCUGGUUGGAAGGGUGGUGACGGUAGUGGUAGAAGAAGCACCGGCUAACUACGUG
rnacentral:rRNA from 1 species